rnacentral:rRNA from 1 species
AGCGAACGCUGGCGGCAGGCCUAACACAUGCAAGUCGAACGAAGCCUUCGGGCUUAGUGGCGGACGGGUGAGUAACACGUGGGAACGUACCUUUUGGUUCGGAACAACUCAGGGAAACUUGAGCUAAUACCGGAUGAGCCCUUAGGGGGAAAGAUUUAUCGCCGAAAGAGCGGCCCGCGUUAGAUUAGCUAGUUGGUGAGGUAAAGGCUCACCAAGGCUACGAUCUAUAGCUGGUCUGAGAGGAUGAUCAGCCACACUGGGACUGAGACACGGCCCAGACUCCUACGGGAGGCAGCAGUGGGGAAUCUUGCGCAAUGGGCGAAAGCCUGACGCGGCCAUGCCGCGUGAAUGAUGAAGGUCUUAGGAUUGUAAAAUUCUUUUACCAGGGACGAUAAUGACGGUACCUGGAGAAAAAGCCCCGGCUAACUUCGUGCCAGCCGCCGCGGUAACAC